UUCUUUAGGAAUGUAGUGGAGUAAAAGUAGAAGUUGUCAAAAAUAUCAAAAGUAAAGUACAGAUACCCCCCAAAACUACUGAUGUGGCACUUAAAUAUUUGUACUUAAGUACUUUACACCACUGAUUGCAGGGAAUACAGACUGAAGCUGUUCCUCCCUACGAGGCCCAUGAGACUGUGUAGGGAUGUGAUUUGAAUAGGACUGUGACUGAACGAGUGGGAUGUUUUUAUUUAUCUAUAUUUGUAUUUUGUUUUGAGGUCGUUGUUCCCCUUCCCCUUUUCAAUAUUGGACGUGUUUCUUUUUCUACAGUUUACUAACCGUACAGUAGGUGGCGGUAGACACGUUAUAUUUGUGUAAAUGUCAGUAUACCAGAGAAGAAGAUGACGCUUCUGCACUAUCCAAGUGGGGAACAGGAAGUACCGGGUCGAAACGACAGAACUGUGCUGUUGUGUCGAUAGUGGUUGUGUCCGUUUCAAAUGUAUCAUUGUAGGAGUUUGCUCGUGGUGAAAUGGCGACAUGAGGCUGUGUGAUGAAGUGUCAAAAUAGAGGGAAGCUAACUGAAGUUAUCCUUCAUCAUUUGGAGAGAGAGGCCAACUGCAUGGAAUGGCGUCGAUUAAUGCAGAUGAAUCGGUUCACGUAUCAAACCCAUUCCAUGGAGGACCAAGUGCCUGCUAGUUUUCGCAAAAUAGAGGGAAGCUAACUGAAGUUAUCCUUCAUCAUUUGGAGAGAGAGAGGCCAACUGCAUGGAAUGGCGUCGAUUAAUGCAGAGUAAUCGGUUCACAUAUCAAACCCAUUCCAUGGAGGACCAAGUGCCUGCUUGUUUUCGC